UACGACCACAUCACAUGGAAACAGAUGUUUUCUUACGAUCACCGAAGUUAAGCAACAUCAAGCCUGGUCAGUACAUAGAUGGGUGACCGCUUGGGGAUACCAGGGGUUGUAA